rnacentral:rRNA from 1 species
GACGGAGGAUGCAAGUGUUAUCCGGAAUCACUGGGCGUAAAGCGUCUGUAGGUGGUUUGAUAAGUCAACUGUUAAAUCUUGAGGCUCAACCUCAAAAUCGCAGUCGAAACUAUUAGGCUAGAGUAUAGUAGGGGUAAAGGGAAUUUCCAGUGGAGCGGUGAAAUGCGUAGAGAUUGGAAAGAACACCGAUGGCGAAGGCACUUUACUGGGCUAUUACUAACACUCAGAGACGAAAGCGAGGGUAGCAAAUGGG